UAUAUAUAUACACACACACACACACAAACAUGUUUCUGUGUGUGUGUGUAUAUAAACACACACACACAUAUAUAUAUAUAUAUAACACAAAUUUAGGCUUAGGAGUCAUCUUUUCUCUUAGGUUGAUUUUUAAUUCUAAGUCUCAGAAAACAAUUAAUUUAUCUUUGUUUUAAUCAUCAUUGAGGCCCAGCAAACCUCUGAGGUAAAAGGGUGAGAAGGUAGGGUGGGGGCUGGAUAAUGAGAAAUUACUUAAGGGUUAUAAUGUAAAUUAUUUGAGUGAUGGAUACCCUAAAAGCCCUGACUUCAUCACUAUGCAGUCUAUGCAUGUAACUAAAUUACAUUUGUACACAACACGUUUGCAAAAAAAAUUAAAAAGAACCACUAGA
rnacentral:lncRNA from 1 species